rnacentral:sRNA from 19 species
GUCACGAACCCACCACUAAUCCAGUAGGUAUAGUGGGGGCUUGAAAAGCCCAAGACGUGACCAGACUAAGGUUCUAGAAACCUACGUUAUUUGAGUCAAGACACCUUGAGAUGCGUGCCAGUCUCACGCUCUGUC